GCCUUUGUAGUGUAGUGGUCAGCACACUGGGUGCAUAUCCCAGAGGUCCGUGGUUUGAUUCCUGGCAAAGGCA